rnacentral:rRNA from 1 species
AAUAGAUACCCGGGUAGUCCACGCCGUAAACGAUGGAUACUAGCUGUUGGAGGUAUCGACCCCUUCAGUAGCGAAGCUAACGCGUUAAGUAUCCCGCCUGUGGAGUACGGUCGCAAGACUAAAACAUAAAGGAAUUGACGGGGACCCGCACAAGCGGUGGAUCGUGUUCUUUAAUUCGAUGCUAAACGAAGAACCUUACCAGGGUUUGACAUCCCUUGAAUUAAUCCGAAAGGAUUGAGUGCUUUAUUGAACAAGGUGACAGGUGAUGCAUGGCCGUCGUCAGCUCGUGUCGUGAGAUGUUUGGUUAAGUCCAUCAACGAGCGCAACCCUUGCAAGUAGUUGUAUUUUUCUACUUGGACUGCCCCCGGUUAACGGGGAGGAAGGAGGGGAUGAUGUCAGGUCAGUAUUUCCCUUACAUCCUGGGCUAGAAACACGAUACAAUGGCUAGUACAAUGCGCAGCGAAGCCGCGAGGUGAAGCAAAUCGCAUCAAAGCUAGUCCCAGUUCGGAUUGGAGGCUGAACUCGCUCAUGAGUCGG